rnacentral:misc_RNA from 1 species
UGUGGGAGCGGGCUUGCCCGCGAUGACGGACUGUCAGGCAAUACUAAUGUUGGAUGUGCCGACCUCAUCGCGGGCAAGCCCGCUCCCACA